ACGCUAGCUACAGGCUUAACACAUGCAAGUCGGGGGGCAGCAUGGAAGAAGCUUGCUUCUUCUGAUGGCGACCGGCGCACGGGUGCGUAACGCGUAUCAAACCUGCCUCAUACUCGGGGAUAGCCUUGCGAAAGUAAGAUUAAUACCCGAUGUUGUUAUGUUACCGCAUGGUGAUAUAACCAAAGAUUUAUCGGUAUGAGAUGGUGAUGCGUCCGAUUAGGUAGUAGGCGGGGUAACGGCCCACCUAGCCUUCGAUCGGUAGGGGUUCUGAGAGGAAGGUCCCCCACACUGGAACUGAGACACGGUCCAGACUCCUACGGGAGGCAGCAGUGAGGAAUAUUGGUCAAUGGACGGAAGUCUGAACCAGCCAAGUAGCGUGCAGGAUGACGGCCCUCUGGGUUGUAAACUGCUUUUAGUUGGGAAUAAAAAAGAGGACGUGUCCUCUAUUGUAUGUACCUUCAGAAAAAGGACCGGCUAAUUCCGUGCCAGCAGCCGCGGUAAUACGGAAGGUCCAGGCGUUAUCCGGAUUUAUUGGGUUUAAAGGGAGCGUAGGCGGAUUAUUAAGUCAGUGGUGAAAGACGGUGGCUCAACCAUCGUUAGCCAUUGAAACUGGUAGUCUUGAGUGCAGACAGGGAUGCUGGAACUCGUGGUGUAGCGGUGAAAUGCUUAGAUAUCACGAUGAACUCCGAUCGCGAAGGCAGGUGUCCGGGCUGCAACUGACGCUGAGGCUCGAAAGUGUGGGUAUCAAACAGGAUUAGAUACCCUGGUAGUCCACACAGUAAACGAUGUAUACUCGCGGUUUGCGAUAGAAUGUAAGCCGCCAAGCGAAAGCAUUAAGUAUACCACCUGGGGAGUACGCCGGCAACGGUGAAACUCAAAGGAAUUGACGGGGGCCCGCA
rnacentral:rRNA from 1 species